UGAACGCUGGCGGCGUGCUUAACACAUGCAAGUCGAACGAGAAAGUUCUCUUCGGAGGAUGAGUAGAGUGGCGCACGGGUGAGUAACACGUGGAUAAUCUGUCUUCGGGAACGGGAUAACCAAUCGAAAGGCUGGCUAAUACCGUAUGAAGUUUUUGACUCUUGGGUCAAAAAUGAAAAGGUGCCUCUGAUGCAAGCAUCUGCUUGAAGGUGAGUCCGCGUACCAUUAGCUUGCUGGUGGGGUAAGAGCCUACCAGGGCGACGAUGGUUAGCUGGUCUGAGAGGAUGAUCAGCCACACUGGAACUGAAACACGGUCCAGACUCCUACGGGAGGCAGCAGUGAGGGAUUUUGCGCAAUGGGGGAAACCUUGACGCAGCAACGCCGCGUGAGUGAAGAAGGCUCUUGGGUCGUAAAGCUCUGUCAACAGGGAAGAAGUUACUGUAUAUGAAUAGUGUAUGGUAUUGACGGUACCUGUGGAGGAAGCACCGGCUAACUCCGUGCCAGCAGCCGCGGUAACACGGGGGGUGCAAGCGUUAUUCGGAAUUAUUGGGCGUAAAGGGCGCGCAGGCGGUCUUGCCGGUCAGGUGUGAAAGCCCGGGGCUCAACCCCGGAAGAGCAUUUGAAACAGCAAGACUUGAGUACAGGAGAGGAAAGCGGAAUUCCUGGUGUAGAGGUGAAAUUCGUAGAUAUCAGGAGGAACACC
rnacentral:rRNA from 1 species